rnacentral:tRNA from 2 species
CGGGGAGUAGCGCAGCUUGGUUAGCGCGCUGCGUUUGGGACGCAGAGGCCGCGGGUUCGAAUCCCGCCUCCCCGA